AAGUCGUAACAAGGUUUCCGUAGGUGAACCUGCGGAAGGAUCAUUAACGUAUCUCUGACGGUGAGGGCGCGCCCUGCUCCGGGAACCGAAAGGCCCCGUGCAGCGGGUGAGCCCUCGCCGCUCAACCCUUGCAAACCCACUGUGCACAUUUGUCGGCGGAGGGCCCAGUCAAUGGGCCCCGAGCCGGACCCACAAACUCCAAGCAUUAAAAGAAUGACUAGCGGACGUUGUGCCGUCUAAACUUUAACAACUUUCAACAACGGAUCUCUUGGCUCUCGCAUCGAUGAAGAACGCAGCGAAAUGCGAUAAGUAAUGUGAAUUGCAGAAUUCAGUGAAUCAUCGAAUCUUUGAACGCACCUUGCGCUCCUUGGUAUUCCGAGGAGCAUGCCUGUUUGAGUGUCUUGAAGUCAUCAACCUCUCCCGUUUUGCGACGGGUCCAGGUUGGAGCCUGGGGGCUUGCGGCCGCGAGGCUGCUCNCCUCAAAUGCAUCGGUUGGGCCUGCGGGUCGGACUCGGUUGGGCGUUGUACCAUCCUCGCUCUUAUUCCGAGAUGUUCCCCUAUUAAUGUGCCCUCCCACGACCGCCCCGUCUGGAGUCGGCGGUCAAAGCUUUNGAAGCACUUUGAAAUCUGACCUCAAAUCAGGUAGGACUACCCGCUGAACUUAAGCAUAUCAAUAAGCGGAGGAAAAGAANCUACAGGAUUCCCCUAGUANCUGCGAGUGANGCGGGAAANGCUCAANUUUGAAUCUGGCGGCUCUGCCGUCCGAGUUGUAUUCUGGAGAAGCGUCUUCCGUGCCGGACCGUGUACAAGUCCCUUGGAACAGGGCGUCGUAGAGGGUGAGAAUCCCGUCUUUGACACGGAUCCCCGGUGCUAUGUGAUGCGCUCUCGAAGAGUCGAGUUGUUUGGGAAUGCAGCUCAAAAUGGGUGGUAAAUUCCAUCUAAAGCUAAAUAUUGGCGAGAGACCGAUAGCGAACAAGUACCGUGAGGGAAAGAUGAAAAGCACUUUGGAAAGAGAGUAAAACAGUACGUGAAAUUGUUGAAAGGGAGACGCUUGAAGUCAGUCGCGUCUGCCGGAACUCAGCCUUGCUCAUGCUUGGUGCACUUUCCGGUCUGACGGGCCAGCAUCGGUUUUGGGCGGCGGACACUGGCGAGGGGAAGGUGGCAGCUCCGGCUGUGUUAUAGCCCCCCGUCGCAAACGUCGUCUGGGACCGAGGAAUCCGGCGCAAGCCUGGGAUGCUGGCGUAAUGGCUUUAAGCGACC
rnacentral:rRNA from 1 species